GUCCGCUAAGGGAUACGGUGUUCUUCCUGAGCGGGCACGGUUCUCGGUGCCGGGUGCUCAGAAAACAUGCGUCCCUUAGAGUCCCACGGAAAGGUUCUCAGUGCGAUCUCUAUCAAGGAAGUGUUGGAAGUUAGUGUUUUCGGAAAGAAACGGCAGUUCCACAGAACAUUCCAUUUCACAGAGGCUCUGGGAACGAUUCAUGUUUGCUAUGAGUCUUGAUAAAUUGGAGAAGAGCCCAAGAGAAAUUUUUCAUCCCUUGAUAUAAAAGGAUUUAUUGGUUCUGGAAGAACAAGAGGGAAGUACAAGCCUAACUACUUCUAGCUCACAGACCCGUCCAGUGAACCCAGGGAUCGGUGAAUUUUAACUUUGGAGUCCACUAUGCUAAGGAUGCUCAGCUUACAGGUGAUGAAAUGUUCAGUAAUGUAUUUGCUGCAGCUCUGCUUACCCAAGCUUUGGGUUCCUUCUGUCCCACUGGGAGUUGCCCAGUUUGGUUGCAUCUGGUGAAAUUCACCCUGAGACCUUACAGAACUAGCUCCAACUACGUGAGAGCCAUUUGCAGUUCUCUCCAGACACCUGGAGAAUGGGUGACGUUUCUGAGGAUCCGGCGAGCGUGCUUCUAUCAAAACUCAGUCUGUGAAAUUCCUGGGGAAAACCCUUCUGUGUCCUGAAGGGUUCAAACUCUGGCGAGGAUCCCGUUAUCAGGUGCUCACCUGGAUGGUUCCAGCUGCCAAAGGGAAAGACUCUCGUAUCCUUGUCGUCGGGCUCGGUGCUGUCCAAGAAGAUACGGGGACUAAAAAAAUCAUAAGAAGCAAAAUAUGACUGCAGGGAAAAGAAGCUGGAGAGAACAGAAGACUCAUCACGGCGGGACAGCGUGAGGACUGAAAGUGUAAGAAGAUGUGGAGGGAAAGAGAGAAUCUGACAGGAGCAGCGAACGCACGAGUGCACGAAUUUUGCUUUUUGCUUGGAUGUAAACUCAGGAGUUGAGAGGAAUUUGGGAGUGAGAAGGGACAUUUCAGAAGGAGAAGAAGAAAAAGAAGUUGUUGCUACAGUCCUGGCAAAAGCUUUUGUUCUAGCUAAUAAAAGAAGUUAGUUUAAAAAACAAAAAGGAAAAAAUGUAGUGUUUUUUUUUUCCUUCACUAUGAUAUUCAUUGGUGGUAUAUGGUGUGUUGUUUUAUUUCUUGGUAUUAUUAACUCUGUGUAAAUUGUUUUUUGAGUGAAGCUGACUUUCUGGAUGGGUUGGUUUGUAUUUGAGGCAGGAUUAAUUUCAGUAGGGUUCUUUCAUAGAUUUCUGAUGGGUAUUACUGGGAUUUUGGUUUUGUUUACUGUAUGUAUGAACCUAGAGCUUUGGUAGGGCCAGCUGGGCUGCUGGAGUUUUGGGUGUGAAUUUAUUAGAUGGCUUUUGUUAGAUGCAGUUUUUAAUUUUUGAAAUGUUUUUCAAUGUAGUGGUUUUAAGGUGGUUUUUAAGAAUUCAUUGUAUUGCUUUAUCUUGUUUGUAGUUGGUGUAUGAUAAGGGAUGUGGUGUGAGUUCUUGAACAUUAUGGUUUUGGUGUUCCUAAGUUCUGAUUUCUUUGUGGUUCAAUAUUUUUUUUUAUUUUUAUUUUUUGGGACAGGGGCAUUUAUAUGGUGGGUUUUUAUAGGCAAUAUGUUUUUUAAUUUAGGUAGUGAUAUUUUUUAAUAUUUUAAUAGUUUAGGUUUUUUAUUUUCAUGGUUUUAAUUAUUUUUUUUAAUUUUUUGAAAUAACUUUUAUAGAUUACAUGUUAUUAUUUGUGCAUUAACAUAAAGGUAGAGCUUUGGGGACUUUUUUUAGUAAUGUUUAGGGUCAGUUGUGCAGUUUUGAGUCUAGUGCGUUGGUUUGAUUUAAUUUUUAAUGGGUGUUUGUUUUUAUUAGCAGUUGUGUCAUUUUCAAGGUGUGUUUGAGUUUUUUGGGGUUUUUGAGAUACUGGUUUAGGAGGAAGUUUAUGAUGAGAAUGUGCGGAGGUUUUGGGCUACUUUAUAGUGAGAUUUAAAAUUUAUUUACAGUUAGGUUUAUUUGAGUUUUUAUUAGGGUUCAGUGACGUUGUGGGAUGUUUGUUCUGUUAGUAAUAGAAAUAGGUUUUGUUUUGCUGUGCUGCGAUGGGAUGGGCGUGUGCUGCGUGCCGGUGCUGACAAAGGUACAGUAUUGUUGUGGCUCUGGUGCGUCGGGUUAAUGAACUGACAUGGUUUAAUAUAGAGAUGAAAAUAGAAAUAAAUAUACAUUUAAAAAUAAAUAUAACAUUAGAGUGGUAAACAUAAAUAUAGAUAACAGAUACAUACAUAAAACUAUAAUAUAUGGUAUAUAAUUGUAACAUGUUAUCAUAUAGAUAAAUGAUAGUCUAUUUUAUAUAUAUAUA